AUUGAACGCUGGCGGCAGGCUUAACACAUGCAAGUCGAACGAGUGGCGGACGGGUGAGUAAUGCCUAGGAAACUGCCUGAUGGAGGGGGAUAACUUCUGGAAACGGUCGCUAAUACCGCAUACCAUCAGAUGUGCCCAGGUGGGAUUAGCUAGUUGGUGGGGUAAUGGCUAACCUAGGCGACGAUCCCUAGCUGGUCUGAGAGGAUGACCAGCCACACUGGAACUGAGACACGGUCCAGACUCCUACGGGAGGCAGCAGUGGGGAAUAUUGGACAAUGGGCGAAAGCCUGAUGCAGCCAUGCCGCGUGUGUGAAGAAGGUCUUCGGGUUGUAAAGCACUUUAAGCGAGGAGGCGUUACCAGCAGAAGAAGCACCGGCUAACUCCGUGCCAGCAGCCGCGGUAAUUC
rnacentral:rRNA from 1 species